AUGGCCAGCAACAAUACCGCCAGCAUAGCACAAGCCAGGAAGCUGAUAGAGCUGUUGAAGAUGGAAGCCAACAUCGACAGGAUAAAGGUGUCCAAGGCAGCUGCUGACUUGACGGCCUACUGCGAGGCACAUGCCAAGGAAGACCCUCUGCUGACCCCAGUCCCGGUCUAAAAAAAAAACCUUUCAGGAGAAGAACUCCUUCUGCGCGAUCCUUUAA
rnacentral:lncRNA from 1 species